UACGAAGGGGGCUAGCGUUGCUCGGAAUCACUGGGCGUAAAGGGCGCGUAGGCGGCCAUUCAAGUCGGAGGUGAAAGCCCAGGGCUCAACCCUGGAAUUGCCUUCGAUACUGUCUGGCUAGAGACCGGAAGAGGUAAGUGGAACUGCGAGUGUAGAGGUGAAAUUCGUAGAUAUUCGCAAGAACACCAGUGGCGAAGGCGGCUUACUGGUCCGGUUCUGACGCUGAGGCGCGAAAGCGUGGGGAGCGAACAGG
rnacentral:rRNA from 1 species